AUAAUAAUAAUAAUAAUAAUAAUAAUAAUAAUAAUAAUAAUAAUAAUAAUAAUAAUAAUAAUAAUAAUAAUAAUAAUAAUAAUAAUAAUAAUAAUAAUAAUAAUAAUAAUAAUAAUAAUAAUAAUAAUAAUAAUAAUAAGAAUAUGCUUUUUCAUUUUCGGAUAGAUUUGCAUCACUUUUCGGAUAGAUUUGCAUCGUUCGGAUAGACUUGCAUCGGUACCGGAUAGAUUUGCAUCGCUAUCGGAUAGAUUUGCAUCGUUAUCGGAUAGAUUUGCAUCGCUAUCGGAUAGAUUUGCAUCAUUUCCGGCUGCCGUGUAAUUUUUUACAUUUCUAAAAUGGCACCUUGAGGCGGACGACGAGCAAGAGCAGCUAUAUAAACUGCUACUGCUUAUUUAUUUUGUGUACCCUUCAAAUGUUUUAACCGUUCAUAUGGAAAUUGGUAGAACCGUUGGAAAUUGUUAAAAAUAUGUCGCCAUUGUUACGUCAGCGUGCAGCAAGAUUAAUUAUACUUGAAAAGAAUGGCGUCAAAUACUAUGACAUAUUGAAAACUGUUUUCAAUAAACGAAGAAAGUGUCCAAAUUGUUACAUAUUUUUUCCAUAAAAGCCUUCUUGCUUGUCAACUACAGUGUCCGACCAACAAUACGUACGAAAACUCAUUUGCAAUCCUGUUUUUAUGCAGCUACUUGUAUUAUAGGACGACAGAUUUAUGUAAAUUGACAGGUAGACCUAAUUGCAACGCACGACAUGGUCUACAGACGGUAUUCUACAUUGGAGCAAAUUUGUGGGAUAUGCUUCCGGUAUAAAGGAAGCUGAAAGUCUGAACUCAUUUUCUUCACAGCCUGAAGUCUUAUUAUUUUUAUUAGAUCUAUUUAUUUUUAUAUCGUCAAUUUAGCCAAGUGUAGUCGUACUCUUCUAUCAAAUCCUAUACAUGACUUCAUACAAGAGGUGACAUUUCCAUUUGUAUCCUUUUAAUUGACGUUAAAUAAAUUUAUGUCUGUUUA